AUGUAUAUCACAAUGCAUCAAAUGGAUACAAAAGGUGACUUACAACACAAGAAAGUACACGACUCUCAAAACCCUAAACCCUUAUCUUUAGAUAUUACGAUAUGUUAUACAAGGAUUAGUUACAAAGCCCUAGGUCUAAGUUUUCCUUUUAUAAUCUUCAACUGUCUAUGGGCUUCGAAACAACAACAUAUCAGUUACUGA